CCUACGGGUGGCAGCAGUGAGGAAUAUUGGUCAAUGGUCGGGAGACUGAACCAGCCAAGCCGCGUGAGGGAUGAAGGUACAGAGUAUCGUAAACCUCUUUUGUCAGGGAACAAAGGCGGGGACGUGUUCCCGGAUGAGUGUACCUGAAGAACAAGCAUCGGCUAACUCCGUGCCAGCAGCCGCGGUAUUAGGGGGGAUGCGAGCGUUAUCCGGAUUAAUUGGGUUAAAAGGGGGGGAAGGCGGUCUGUUAGGUCAGCGGUCAAGGCCAGGGGCUCACCCCCGACCCGCCGUUGACACUGGCAGACUCGAGUUGGAGAGAGGUAUGCGGAAUGCGCGGUGUAGCAGUGAAAUGCAUAGAUAUCGCGCAGAACUCCGAUUGCGAAGGCAGCAUGCCGGCUCCACACUGACGCUGAGGCACGAAAGCGUGGGUAUCGAACAGGAUUAGAUACCCGGGUAGUC
rnacentral:rRNA from 1 species